rnacentral:rRNA from 1 species
AUUGAACGCUGGCGGCAGGCUUAACACAUGCAAGUCGAACGAUGAUUAUCUAGCUUGCUAGAUAUGAUUAGUGGCGGACGGGUGAGUAACAUUUAGGAAUCUGCCUAGUAGUGGGGGAUAGCUCGGGGAAACUCGAAUUAAUACCGCAUACGACCUACGGGUGAAAGGGGGCGCAAGCUCUUGCUAUUAGAUGAGCCUAAAUCAGAUUAGCUAGUUGGUGGGGUAAAGGCCCACCAAGGCGACGAUCUGUAACUGGUCUGAGAGGAUGAUCAGUCACACCGGAACUGAGACACGGUCCGGACUCCUACGGGAGGCAGCAGUGGGGAAUAUUGGACAAUAGGGGCAACCCUGAUCCAGCCAUGCCGCGUGUGUGAAGAAGGCCUUUUGGUUGUAAAGCACUUUAAGCAGGGAGGAGAGGCUAAUGGUUAAUACCCAUUAGAUUAGACGUUACCUGCAGAAUAAGCACCGGCUAACUCUGUGCCAGCAGCCGCGGUAAUACAGAGGGUGCGAGCGUUAAUCGGAAUUACUGGGCGUAAAGCGAGUGUAGGUGGCUCAUUAAGUCACAUGUGAAAUCCCCGGGCUUAACCUGGGAACUGCAUGUGAUACUGGUGGUGCUAGAAUAUGUGAGAGGGAAGUAGAAUUCCAGGUGUAGCGGUGAAAUGCGUAGAGAUCUGGAGGAAUACCGAUGGCGAAGGCAGCUUCCUGGCAUAAUAUUGACGCUGAGAUUCGAAAGCGUGGGUAGCAAACAGGAUUAGAUACCCUGGUAGUCCACGCCGUAAACGAUGUCUACUAGCCGUUGGGGUCCUUGAGACUUUAGUGGCGCAGUUAACGCGAUAAGUAGACCGCCUGGGGAGUACGGCCACAAGGUUAAAACUCAAAUGAAUUGACGGGGGCCCGCACAAGCGGUGGAGCAUGUGGUUUAAUUCGAUGCAACGCGAAGAACCUUACCUGGUCUUGACAUAGUGAGAAUCCUGCAGAGAUGCGGGAGUGCCUUCGGGAAUUCACAUACAGGUGCUGCAUGGCUGUCGUCAGCUCGUGUCGUGAGAUGUUGGGUUAAGUCCCGCAACGAGCGCAACCCUUUUCCUUAUUUGCCAGCGGGUUAAGCCGGGAACUUUAAGGAUACUGCCAGUGACAAACUGGAGGAAGGCGGGGACGACGUCAAGUCAUCAUGGCCCUUACGACCAGGGCUACACACGUGCUACAAUGGUAGGUACAGAGGGUUGCUACACAGCGAUGUGAUGCUAAUCUCAAAAAGCCUAUCGUAGUCCGGAUUGGAGUCUGCAACUCGACUCCAUGAAGUCGGAAUCGCUAGUAAUCGCGGAUCAGAAUGCCGCGGUGAAUACGUUCCCGGGCCU